GCCCGGAUGGCGGAAUCGGUAGACGCAGGGGACUCAAAAUCCCCCGAUGGCAACAUCGUGCGAGUUCGAGUCUCGCUCCGGGCA
rnacentral:tRNA from 1 species